rnacentral:misc_RNA from 1 species
GGAAGAAGAAAUCCAUUGAUAAAAGUGUAAUAUUAUACAAUUACCAAAAUAUGCAUAUGAGUUUCAUUCACUGAAACUAAGAACACGUUUCUAAUCCAGUUCUAGUGCAGCACGUGAAUAGAAUCGGUUGGCAAAUUCCGUAGCAUCACGAUUGUAUUUCUUAUGAGCAUAUGUUGCUCCUUGUUUUCUUUCAUUGCUCGCGAUAUUACAUUUGAAUGCGUGAAAUUUGAAUUUUCCUAAAAUUAGCUUGUGUAACAUAUGUUAACAAAAUUGCAUUAUUGAAUCUUCAUCCAAUAAAAAGACAAGAGAACUUUAAUAAUGGAUAAUGGAAUGCAGAUCUUUCUUAAACAAAAAAGUAAAACACGUUUAUUUAUAACAAAACUAGGAUACCUUCGGCUUGCAGAAACUCUUGAUGACAGCGAUGUCGAGGCAGCGGUACGCGAACCGCAGCAGCGGGAACAGAUAAGGAAGGGAGGAGCCACGCGUCGGGCAAUCAUGUGUAGUGUCAUGUGGCUCCUUCGGCUCCUAACGACUUGCUGCCUCGUUUAUCUAUCGACGUCCGACUUCCACACAGAUCUAUCAAUAAUAACAGAUUCAAUAUCAACGAAAUCGACGACGGCGGCAAAGCGAUCGGUACCGACGGAUGCGCCGAUGUUGAACUACAUUUUCGAUGCGCACAGCACGCUGAACAAACAUCAACACCAUCACGAUCACAGGUGGGGCCCCCAUUUCGAGGGAGAAAGCAAGAAUAUGACGGUACAGGCUGGCGGUAGCGCCCUGCUUGACUGCAGGAUAUCCUUGCUACAAGAUAAAACCGUGUCUUGGGUACGCAGGCAAGACAAUGGGGAAAAGGUAAAUUUGCUGACAGUGGGUCAGCAGACGUACAUAGGAGACCCAAGGUACACGGUGAAGUUCCAAUACCCGGAUAACUGGCGUCUACAAAUCCAACCGGUGAACAGUAGCGACGAGGGCCAGUACGAGUGCCAAGUCAGCACUCAUCCGCCCAAGUAUAUUCACGUGAAUCUUCACAUCAACGCACCAUCCGUCCAAAUAGUGGACGCCCUGGGUGAACCUCUGAGAGACAAGUAUUAUGAGGCUGACAGCACUAUAGAGCUGUUAUGCGUUGUGCGCCACAUAGCAAUGCAAGUGCAAUACAGUGUCGUGCAGUGGCUUCAUGGCAACAGAGUUUUGAACUACGACACGACGAGAGGCGGUAUCAGCGUGAAAACGGACCUAAUGGAAGAGGGGGCCAAUUCGACUCUCAGCAUAGCGAGGGUGGGACCAGCUGACAGCGGAAACUACACGUGCCAUCUAACCACCAUGCCCGAUCAACCUGCCACCGUUCAUGUGCAUGUGCUGAACGGAGAAAGCUUAGCCGAGCUGCAUCACGGUUCCGCAGAGGUCGCCAGUAACGGUUCGUUGCUGCUCCUCUUAUGCGUCUUUCUCGGUCGGAUACAACAGGUGCUGAGAUGAAGGAUCGACCAGUUUCGUCGCUUCCUCGCCGCAUCACAAUACACAGAACUUUUAUAUUAUCGUUGGGAGAAUGGACGUGGCCAUACGUGAACAAGAAACGUGAAAAAACGGACGAGAGGAGGGCGGUGAAUGCAAAAAACUUGAAAAGUUGAAACUCUGCGAGAGGAGAAUGGGCUUGAGGCGUGGGGAAAGGUUGGCAGCAUUGGUCCGCCAUUGUCUUUCUGCGUCGCUCACAUCCUUGAUUCCAUCUGUCAACUUGUCAGAGCGCUUCGACUUCGCGUUUUUUGUCCUUCCAGCUAGUGGAGCACUGGUGGUUAAUCGGAAGCUGAUGAAUCAUCCUGGGAGGAGGAAUUUGUCGAUGAUUGGUUGGGUUCGAGGACCCAAGAAGAUUGAGAGGUGUAAAUGUCUCGCAACCUAACGUGGAUGUCAGGUGCAUAUCUUUUACUAAGUUAAUUCGUAUAAUUGAAAGUAUCAUUCUCAUUCAUUCUACAUUGAUCCUGUAUGAUAAAUCUUGAAAUCAUCGAAUGCAUAAUCAAGUUUAUGAUAAUAAAUAAGUACGUACAGAUUUAAUACGUACGAAAAUAUAGAAAUAUAUUACAAUUUUGACAUAUCUUCUUGUUCAACGCUCGGAUAGACUGAAUUACCAAGUAAUUAGAAAAGAGAAAAAACUUAACACAUUCACCGUCUAUAUUUAUAUUAUAAAAGAAAAAUGUUCUUUCUUUUUACGUUAAAAUCCUUAGAAUUACGAAUUAAAAAUUAAAAAUUAUCUUAACCUUCAUAUGAAUGGAUAGUAAACGUGUUAAGUUUCAUCGAAUAAUCAAUCAUUCCAUACUUUUAUAUUUAUUUCUCCUUCAUUUUAUACAGAGAAAAAUGAUAGGAACAUGGAUUAUCAUAGAAUUCCUUAUUUCCUCUUUUUCAACUGUUCCGUAAUUUUAUAAGUCUAAAAUGAAAAAAAUAUUCCAUAUUUCCAUCACUUUCUCUGUGUUAAGCAUUAUCGAGAACCAAUACUAAAAAAUAUUCAAAAGAAUCAUCGAUAAAAAAAAAGAAACCUCUCGGCAAUCAGAAUCAUUCUACCGUGCAAGGAAACAAAAAAAAAUCGAAGCACAAUAUGUAACUAAAAAUUCCUUCCUCCCUGAAAUUGAAACAUUUCUUCCCCAAAUUUUUUAGGGGAUUUUGUUCCCGGCAAAAAUGCAGAAAAAAAGAAACUUCCGCAAAAAGUCGGUCCUCGAUCGAAUUUCCAUAAACGCAUUCCACAAUCGUCGAAGCGUUCCAAAUAAGUGUCGGGUGCAGGGACGUCGACAAAGGAAGUACGAGCCAUGCGCCACCGAUUUCCUGUAGGACGCGUGUCGGUGAAGUUCGAUUAUGCCCGGAAACCACCUCGACGCCCCUGUAUUUCCUUAUUCACUGCCGCUCCACAUCCUUCUUGAGAAGCAAGUUUUAUGGGGCACGAUGAUCCUUCUGAACGAUCCUAUCUUGACGUGUGUUCG